UACGGAGGGUGCAAGCGUUAUCCGGAUUUACUGGGCGUAAAGGGCGCGUAGGCGGUCGUGACAAGUCACUUGUGAAAUCUCCGGGCUUAACUCGGAACGGUCAAGUGAUACUGUCGGACUAGAGUACAGAAGGGGCAACUGGAAUUCUCGGUGUAGCGGUGAAAUGCGUAGAUAUCGAGAGGAACACCUGCGGCGAAGGCGGGUUGCUGGGCUGAUACUGACGCUGAGGCGCGAAAGCCAGGGGAGCGAACGGG
rnacentral:rRNA from 1 species